AUGCGACGGUCAGCCCGGCAGCGAGGCAAAGGAACGGCGGUGCCGGUGGGUAGGGAGGGAGCGAGGACGCGCGCAUCAUCAUCGCUCUCCAUGGCCGACGGCGACCCAGAGACUAGCAUGGAGGAUGAUGAAUAUACGGCUGAUGGGUCAUUCUCAACCCAUUUCUCACCCACUCGGUUGCGGCAGGUUGCAGAUAGUCAGUCCAAGAAGAAGAAGGAAGUUAUAAGCAAAUGCAGCUUUGGUUCCCUCUUGAAUAUCAACUCUUUCUCUGUGCCGGCUGAUCUGCUCGAUUGGGUAGUCAUAAAAAUUGACCCAGAAAUGGCGUUGUUUAGUCACAAAAAGAAGUCUAUAUUGUUUACAAAAGACAUGGUGCGAAAAAAAAAAUUAAUGUCCCAUCUGGGUCAAGGCCAGUGGAGUUGUUGA
rnacentral:rRNA from 1 species